GAUUUCAUAGAUAUUUUUUCUUGUAGGAAUUUUUUAAAAUAUUUAUGGGGAGUGAUACGUUUUCGUUUCUUAAGGUAUCUAGAUUUUUUAAUUUUUAAGGGAAAACUUUUUAAACUUUUAUGUUUUUUAAGGGUAUUAUUUUCUUUGAAAGUAAGGCGGAUGUGUGAUAACGUAUAAAAAUUAUAACUUAAAGUUUAUUGGUUUUUGUAUUUAGAGAAUUAAUUAAUAGAUUAGUAGAAUCAAAAAAAUUUUGUUUAAUUUUUUUUUAUUUUGUAUGUUUAAAUUGUUUCUAUUUACUGAUUUUUUCUUAGACUGGUUAAUAAAAUCUUAGUUACAAAAUUUGUAAUUUUUUCUGCUCUAUGCUAAAAAAGGUAAAUGGCUGUUUUGACACUAAGGUAGCAAAAUCAUUAGCUAUUUAAUUGGUAGCUUGUAUGAAUGAAUUUUCUGGGAAUAUUAUUAAUUUUUUUUUUUAAUUUAUAAAUUUGUUGAAAAUAACAAUUUUUCCCAUAAGACUAAAAGACCCUAAAAUUUUUAUAACUUUAUAGUGUAGUUAUUUGAUUGGGGUAAUAAAGAAAAAUCAACAUUAAUUAAUUUAUCUUUUUUUGAACUUUUUUUAUUGAUAGAAGGUUAAAAUACUUUAGGGAUAACAGCUUAAUUAUCUUUUAGAGUUCUUAUUAAUAAGGUAGUUUUAGACCUCGAUGUUGGAUUGAAAUUACUUUUUGGGGUAG
rnacentral:rRNA from 1 species